ACCAGCCUCAAAUAGCUGCACCCUGUUGCUAGGCUACCUGGCUGCCUUCCACACAUCCCAGAGCUGCUGGAAAGCUCACAGCAAAUUGCAGCUCACAUGGAUUGAGGGUUUCUAUACAGACCAGCAAUAAACCAGAAGAAAAUGGAGCUGCUUUAUGGUUUUCUCUGUCCCUUUUCUUCCCAUAAAAUGUGCUGCAGUCAUAUGAGGAUGGAAAAACAUCUCAGCAACAAUCCAUAUGGAAAAGGAUUUGGAUAUACUUUGGAGGCAAGGAAGAAAUGAUAAGAUCUUGGGAAUAAAAAGGUGUGUGGUUAUUGGGCUUCUCCCCACCCCAGACUGCACAGGAUUCCUGAAGAGGCUCCUGGGGCACUGCAGAAGGAGCAUUUGC
rnacentral:lncRNA from 1 species